AUACGUAGGGUGCGAGCGUUGUCCGGAAUUACUGGGCGUAAAGAGCUCGUAGGUGGUUUGUCGCGUCGUCUGUGAAAUUCCGGGGCUUAACUCCGGGCGUGCAGGCGAUACGGGCAUAACUUGAGUACUGUAGGGGAGACUGGAAUUCCUGGUGUAGCGGUGAAAUGGGGAGAUAUCAGGAGGAACACCGGUGGCGAAGGCGGGUCUCUGGGCAGUAACUGACUCUGAGGAGCGAAAGCAGGGGUAGCAAAUCGGCUUAGAUUCCCUGCUCGUCGCUGCUGUGAACGGUGGACGCUAGGUGUAGUGGUCUUUAUCAAAUGCUGUCCCGGAGCUAUCGUAUUAAGAGUCACGCCUGGGAAGUACGGCUGCAAGGAUAAUACUCAAAUGAAUUUACGCGG
rnacentral:rRNA from 1 species